GUAGUCCAUGCCGUAAACGUUGGGCGCUAGGUGUGGGGCUCAUUCCACGAGUUCCGUGCCGCAGCAAACGCAUUAAGCGCCCCGCCUGGGGAGUACGGCCGCAAGGCUAAAACUCAAAGGAACUGACGGGGGCCCGCACAAGCGGCGGAGCAUGCGGAUUAAUUCGAUGCAACGCGAAGAACCUUACCAAGGCUUGACAUGGGGUGAAAACUCGCAGAGAUGCGGGGUCCGCAAGGGCGCCUCACAGGUGGUGCAUGGUUGUCGUCAGCUCGUGUCGUGAGAUGUUGGGUUAAGUCCCGCAACGAGCGCAACCCUCGUUCUAUGUUGCCAGCACGUUAUGGUGGGGACUCAUAGGAGACUGCCGGGGUCAACUCGGAGGAAGGUGGGGAUGACGUCAAAUCAUCAUGCCCCUUAUGUCUUGGGCUUCACGCAUGCUACAAUGGCCAGUACAAAGGGCUGCGAGACCGUAAGGUGGAGCGAAUCCCAAAAAGCUGGUCUCAGUUCGGAUCGGGGUCUGCAACUCGACCCCGUGAAGUCGGAGUCGCUAGUAAUCGCAGAUCAGCAACGCUGCGGUGAAUACGUUCCCGGGCCUUGUACACACCGCCCGUCACGUCACGAAAGUCGGUAACACCCGAAGCCAGUGGCCCAACCCGUAAGGGGGGGAGCUGUCGAAGGUGGGAUCGGCGAUUGGGACG
rnacentral:rRNA from 1 species